GCCCUCGUAGCUCAAUGGUAGAGCGCGUCACUAGUAGUGAUAAUGACGAGGUUGCCGGUUCGAUUCCGUCCGAGGGCA
rfam:Blumeria graminis f. sp. hordei DH14, WGS project CATH01000000 data, contig: 003975